rnacentral:rRNA from 1 species
AGCCUGAACGCUGGCGGCGUGGCUAAGACAUGCAAGUCGUACGGAUGUAGCAAUACAUCAGUGGCGAACGGGUGAGUAAUGAAUCGCUAAUGUGCCCCGGACUCUGGGAUAGCUGCCCGAAAGGGCAGGUAAUACCAGAUGAUAUAACUUUGUCGCAUGACAGAGUUCUCAAAGGUCCGCCGGUCUGGGAGCAGGCGAUUUCGUAUCAGCUAGUUGGUGAGGUAACGGCUCACCAAGGCGACGACGCGUAGCCGGACUGAGAGGUUGGCCGGCCACAUUGGGGCUGAGACACUGCCCAGACUCCUACGGGGGGCUGCAGUAACGAAUCUUCCGCAAUGCACGAAAGUGUGACGGAGCGACGCCGCGUGUGGGAUGAAGUUCUUCGGAAUGUAAACCACUGUCAGGGGUUAGAAGUUCUGAUCAACCCCAGAGGAGGGCACGGCUAACUCUGUGCCAGCAGCCGC